GACGAACGCUGGCGGCGUGCUUAACACAUGCAAGUCGAACGCUGAAGCUUGGUGCUUGCACUGGGUGGAUGAGUGGCGAACGGGUGAGUAAUAAGUGAGUAACCUGCCCUUGACUCUGGGAUAAGCCUGGGAAACUGGGUCUAAUACUGGAUACGACAUGUCACCGCAUGGUGGUGUGUGGAAAGGGUUUUACUGGUUUUGGAUGGGCUCACGGCCUAUCAGCCUGUUGGUGGGGUAAUGGCUCACCAAGGCGACGACGGGUAGCCGGCCUGAGAGGGUGACCGGCCACACUGGGACUGAGACACGGCCCAGACUCCUACGGGAGGCAGCAGUGGGGAAUAUUGCACAAUGGGCGGAAGCCUGAUGCAGCGACGCCGCGUGAGGGAUGACGGCCUUCGGGUUGUAAACCUCUUUCAGCACGGAAGAAGCGAAAGUGACGGUACGUGCAGAAGAAGCGCCGGCUAACUACGUG
rnacentral:rRNA from 1 species